rnacentral:misc_RNA from 1 species
GAAAAAAAAAAAAAGAAAGCACAAUCGAAAAAGAAAACACACUUGUGAUACUAAGCAUGAUACCGGUUAUUAUCUAAAGGCAGCCGUUCUAGAAUCAAAGUUGUUAGCAAGAUUAAAGCAAAGAAUAAAUAUAGAUUAAGGAAGGUAUUAGGAUUUCAAUUAUAAAACAACAAUCGAUCAGGAAAACCUUUUUCAUGAAUAACAUAGAUUUCUUCUCCAACCCCAGAACAUAAUAUUAUGCUAGUCUAUUACGAUAUUCAUUUUCUAGUUCUUAAUCAAACCACAGAACAAUCGCAGGAACCACAAGUAGAAUAUAUCUAUAAAUCUUAACAUCGCAAUAGAUUGGAAUAAGG